rnacentral:piRNA from 1 species
UAGUCUGUGACCAAUCAUGAAGGUGUC